rnacentral:rRNA from 1 species
UACGGAGGGUGCAAGCGUUGUCCGGAUUUAUUGGGUUUAAAGGGUGCGUAGGCGGCCCGUUAAGUCAGUGGUAAAAGCCUCCAGCUCAACUGGAGAACUGCCAUUGAUACUGACGGGCUUGAGUACAGACGAGGUUGGCGGAAUUGAUUGUGUAGCGGUGAAAUGCAUAGAUACAAUCAAGAACUCCGAUUGCGUAGGCAGCUAACUAGGCUGUAACUGACGCUGAGGCACGAAAGCGUGGGGAGCGAACAGG